GUUAAUAUUAUUGGUAAUUAUUUUUGUUUUUAAAAAAUUAAAAAAAAACAUUUCCGGUAAAAGUUUUAAAUGCCAAAGAAAAUAAUACAAUAAUUUUAAAAAACACAAUUUGUUAUUUUUUUUUAUAUAAAAUACAGAUUUAUGUAUAUUUUAAAUUGGCGUAAUAAUAGCGAUAUAAAUGUUUCAUCAAAGUCGUGAGUUCCUUAUAAUUGCAUGUUAUUUAAAGAUCUAGAAAUCUUCUAUAUUCCUUUUUAAAAUACAAGGUGAAUGUCCAAAAACUUGCUACCAAAUAUAGAGGCUGGUGCAUUGACAGCUAUUAAAUCUUUCUUCAGAUUCUUGUGCUAUUUGUGUGCAAUUUCACGUUGUUCAAGUACUAGAACUAUCAAUGGCCAAAAACUUGCUGUUAAAACGUUUCGGGAUAUCGGAGUAAUAAUAUCAUUUUAAUCGAUUUUUUUAAAUUGUUAUUAGUCAUUUGAUGUGUUACCAUAUUGUAUGUAAAUCUGUUAUAUUUAUCAUAAUAAUCGAUUUUCUAAAUAGUUAAGAUAUUUCUUAUAUCACUAUAAUUAAAUAAAUACAUAUGUGCAUAAAUCCAAAGAAAAAGCAGUUAGUUUAACUUUACUGGGAG